rnacentral:rRNA from 1 species
AUACGUAGGUGGCAAGCGUUACUCGGAAUCACUAGGCGUAAAGCGCGCGCAGGCGGCUAUUUAAGUUGGAUGUGAAAGCCUACGGCUCAACCGUAGAACUGCAUCCAACACUAUUUAGCUAGAGUGUGGGAGAGGAAGAUGGAAUUAGUUGUGUAGGGGUAAAAUCCGUAGAGAUAACUAGGAAUACCAAAAGCGAAGGCAAUCUUCUGGAACACUACUGACGCUGAGGCGCGAAAGCGUGGGGAGCAAACGGGAGUAGAAACCCUAGUAGUCC